rnacentral:rRNA from 1 species
UGGGGAAUUUUGGACAAUGGGGGAAACCCUGAUCCAGCCAUCCCGCGUGUGCGAUGAAGGCCCUCGGGUUGUAAAGCACUUUUGGCAGGAAAGAAACGUCGCGGGUUAAUACCCCGCGAAACUGACGGUACCUGCAGAAUAAGCACCGGCUAACUACGUGCCAGCAGCCGCGGUAAUACGUAGGGUGCAAGCGUUAAUCGGAAUUACUGGGCGUAAAGCGUGCGCAGGCGGUUCGGAAAGAAAGAUGUGAAAUCCCAGAGCUUAACUUUGGAACUGCAUUUUUAACUACCGGGCUAGAGUGUGUCAGAGGGAGGUGGAAUUCCGCGUGUAGCAGUGAAAUGCGUAGAUAUGCGGAGGAACACCGAUGGCGAAGGCAGCCUCCUGGGAUAACACUGACGCUCAUGCACGAAAGCGUGGGGAGCAAACAGGAUUAGAUACCCUGGUAGUCCACGCCCUAAACGAUGUCAACUAGCUGUUGGGGCCUUCGGGCCUUGGUAGCGCAGCUAACGCGUGAAGUUGACCGCCUGGGGAGUACGGUCGCAAGAUUAAAACUCAAAUGAAUUGAC